ensembl:lncRNA
UCCACACGCCAGAGAUCAAAUAGACUUCAGGAGAAUGUCUGUGUGUUUCCUGGUAAGAAUAUUUCAAAAUCCAUGCCCAGUGGGAGGAGUGAAGUUCGGGGCAUAACAUUUCUAGGAAUUGGGAACUGACAUAUAGGAAUAGAAAUGGUGCUGAAGGAGGUGUCUGAGCUGGACCACAGGAGUUCUCAGGAGACUCAAUGACCUUAUAAGGUUAGUUUAUUCCAGUUUCUCUCGCAAUAGCAUGGCAAUACAUUCGGAUAUCAGAUUAUAGAUUCUAGUGCGUAAUUGCUCUGAGGACACCAUGAGAAGAUACUUUCGUUUAAAUUAAAUGUUGCAUCACUUCAUGAUAGAUACAUUAAUCUGUAUUGUUGCCAGUUUUCCCAUGUGAGUUUUUGCUCCAUCAUUGAACUUUUAUCACUUACUGCUGCUGCCUUUGUCAAGAUGCCACAUUUACACAGGGAGAUCAUAACAAGAUGUUUUCUUCCUACUGGUGAGAAAGGCUAGAAAAAAUAUCCACCAAUACAGCCAUAAAUAAAAAAUUCACAGUUCAAAAAUCUGAGUCUUUGGAGAUCUUAGAUGUCUUGGAAUGUGUAUUCCUUAAAACCUCUGGUUAUCAAUUCCUUGUUCUUUAAGUCUUUCAACUUAGACAAAAAC